AUUGAACGCUAGCGGGAUGCUUUACACAUGCAAGUCGAACGAGCGGCGGACGGGUGAGUAAUGUAUCGGAAACUGCCUGAUAGAGGGGGAUAACUACUGGAAAGGGUGGCUAAUACCGCAUACUAUUGGAUCGGCCGAUAUGGGAUUAGCUAGUGGGAGGGGGAAAGGCGCACAGAGGCAACGAGCCCUAGCUGGUCUGAGAGGAGGACCAGCCACACUGGAACUGAGACACGGCACAGACUCCUACGUGAGGCAGCAGUGGGGAAUAUUGCACAAUGGGGGCAAGCCUGAUGCAGCCAUGCCGCGUGUAUGAUGAAGGCCUUCGGGUUGUAAAGCACUUUUAGCGAGGAGGCGUUACCUGCAGAAGAAGCACCGGCUAACUACGUGCCAGCCGCCGCGGUAAUUC
rnacentral:rRNA from 1 species